AAAAUAUUAAGAACAUUCUAAACUUACACCUGGACUAUGAACUCCAAGAUGCAGUGAUGUUCCACCAACCUGUGACUCUGUCCCGUCCCAUAGCCUUCUCCCUUAGCAGACAUUCUGUCUCCAUCAAUAAUUUUCUAUCCUGUAUUUUUAUAGCUUUUUCUCCCCACCUUUAAAACAUGAAUGUUAUACAUAUGUAUAAACUCUUAAAACAUAAAUUCCUUGUUUUUAAUCUGAGAUACCAGUGAUUUAAUGGCAAGUUCACUACUAUACUUAAUACCAGGAUUGAUUAAAGAGCAAGCAAAUACACCAGCUUUAAAACUUUUUAUGUCCUAAAAUUAAAAAACAAAACAAAGCAACAACAAAAAUUAAAACAUCUCAUUUAUACAUAUAAUGUCAAUUAGUGGGAAAAGAGAAUAUGGAUUUGAAAGAGAGAAAGGAGGGGUUUAUGAGGAGUUUGGACGGAAGAAACACUAUAAAGGUUUUAGUUUUCAUAAGCUUGCUUGACAAAAUUACAUGUAUUAUAGAAUUUCAGUUAGUAACUGCAUAUUUUCAAUAUCUGAUUGCAAUUAUCUUCACUGAAGACAUGUUAAUGUCUGAUUAAGAUACAAAGGCAUCAUGGAUAGACUAAACUUCAUUUGGCCAUAACCUUUAUAUUGGUUGUGUUGUUGGAUCGUUUUAAACAUAAAAAUGUUAUACUGAACCUAUUUCCACAAAGAUUUUAUCUUUUCUUAAAACAAUAAAAUAGCAAUAGAAAUACUGUACUAGAGUCAAGUAUGUUAAGUCUCUUGGUAUGUUUUACCAUGUGAUAUUUCAGGUUAUCAGGAUUUGUUCACAAAACCAUGAGCAGUCAUAUAAAUUCUCAGUCCAUUGAGAGAUGAUAUGCACCCAAUGAUUUGAACCCAGAAUAUUUUAUUUUAUUUUAUUUUUUAUGGUUUUAGGGCUUUAUUGUUGAAAGGCAGGGAGGAAGAGAGAACAUAGAAAGAAAGAGAGAGGCUGGCCAUGGCCAUGUGUAGAGAAGGGGAAAGGGAGGGAAAGGAGAACUUGAGAUGAGAGUAAGAAAGGUGAGAGCUUAAAUGGAAUGAAAUAAUAGGCUCUUUAAAAUUAUUUUGUAUUGAAGAUAUGAAGCUAUUUUAUUUUUAUUUUGUGUCUUCUGCUAUUACUAACCAUAAAGUCAUGUUCGAGAUGAAAAUUGUUCUACAAUAUUCACUGUUUCUGUUAGUUUUGUUGACAUUUUCACUUCACAAAAUGUGAUUAUUGAAAUUUUCCUUCUUGAAGGCUGUCAUUUUAUAAAUCACUAUGCCUUUAUUUUGCACCUUUCUCAAACUCUACAAACACCAUUCACAUCUGGAUAUCAAAUCAGUAUUUUUAUUGUUUUUAAAUGCUUUACUCCUUGAUUCUUUGAUAGCAGGUAGUAAUAUUUAAUAUUUAGUAGUGCCAUGAAAAGGGUCCCAUCACUGUUGGGGGCAUUGUUAUAAGACAAACAUUACUUCACCCACAUGCUUCUUUAACCUCCUGCAGCAGCAGCAGCAGCAGGCACUACACCCUUAUGUUUCAAUCAGUCAUGAUGAAGAAAUAAGAGUCUGUCCAGCUGGCACACUGCUGGUAGAGAAGCACCAUGCUCAUCUCUGAACCAGCACACCAUGAUGCCUUUAUCAUGCAUGCUCAGUUCUAAGCCAUCUUGCUCUAUGUCACUGAGUGGUUUAAACUGCAACCUAAAGAACUGUAUAUUUUAAGAAAAUUAAAAUCUUCCCUAAGUGAAUGAAAUACACCAAGAGUGUAAAUUAAUAUGUAUUCUAAACUAUCUUUGUGGUCCAGCUGCUGGUUACCUGGCCUUCUUCCUUCCCGUAUCAUGGUUUUACAAAAGAUUUACUUAUCUUUAUUUAUGUGUACGAGUGCUUUGCCUGCAUGCAUGCACACCACAUGCAUGACUAGCGCAAACGGAGAUCAGAGUAUGUGAUCCCUUGGAAAUGCAGUUAGACAUAGUUGUGAGCAGUCUAUGUAUGAGUGCUAGGAACCAAUGCUGUGUCCCCUGCAAGAGCAGCAAAGGCUUUUAACCUCUUGACAUUUCAUUUUAAUGGAGUAUUUUAACAUAUUCUUUUAUUACAUUUGCAAUUUAUUCUAGCUAAUUUUAUCUAGUUUUUUCAUACAUAAGAGAAACAAUUCUUCAAUUAAAGUACUUGAUGGAAUUUUAAUUGACUAUAUGAUAUUUGUAAAUCACUUUGGGUAAAUUGGCACAAAUAUUUUCUCCAUUUUACAUGUUCAUAUUAUAAAAUCCUGGUUAAUAUAUGUGUGCCAAAUUUAUGCCAUGUGAAAGUGUAUAUCUCUGUGUGAAUAUGUAUUUGUGUGUGAGUGUGUGUGUAUAUAUUUGUGUGUGUGUGUGUGAGUGUGAAAGUGUGUUUGUAUCUGCAUGUGUUCCUUUUUAAAUACUUUGAUACACGAUCAACCCCAUUCUUCACCCCAUCUCUGAAGUGUUCGAGCCUGUGAAGGAGCCAGUCCAGCAGAUCCAAAGCUACAGGGUCUCCAUGACUCUGGGCAACAACAGGAUAUCCUAGAGGAGUUCCUCUGAGGAUCUAGUAUUCAUAGUGUAGCUGAAGCCAGAGGCUUCAAACCAGAACUAAUUGCAAUGAACAUUUGCAAGUGAAGAUGUGUAGACAAAAAAGUCUACUGUAACUCAAAACAGUGUCCAUGGUGAGAUGAGUUUUUGUUUUGUUUUUAUUUUACUUUCUAGCUACUUUUUUCAUGGUGUAGUUAAGAGAAAGUUGGGUGAAAGACAGGUUGCAAGGAGGAAUAUUUACAACCAGGUAUGAAUUUGCUGUACAUAUUUUGCUGUGCAUAUUUCUACUACCAUGUUUUCUAAUAUCAUAUAGUUCUCUUUCUUACUCAAAACAUUUAAUUGUAUGCUUGUCUGAAAUCCAUUAGCAAUCAAGACCCAUUUAUUUGAGACAAAAAAGAUCCAUGUGGUACAGCAACACCCAACAAAGUUCUACUUCUUUAUAAACAAAUAAUUAAAUUAAAAUGAACUUCACAGAAAGGCAUAGACUACAAAUUCUCCCAUAGUGCAAUGAGAUGGACAUUCCUUCUAUAGUCCUAGCUGUCAUAUGAAUUUCUCAAAUGUAACGACAUUCUAAUGGUCAUGGGAUUUUUGGAACAACUAUUCUUAGAACACCACAGUGACAUUCAGUUAC
rnacentral:lncRNA from 1 species